rnacentral:lncRNA from 1 species
CGCCGCGGCCCCGGCAGUCGGCGUCCGGGCGAGCGAGCGAGCGUGGAGUCCGGAGCCUGAGCCAGCGCCCGGCGCGGCCCGGGGACAGCGCGAUGCGGCCGUGCGGGGUGGCGGGGCCGGCGCUGUGCGCGUUGCUGGCGCUGGUCGGGGCGAGUGCGGCGCCCGAAGAGAAGCGCGGCUCCCCAACAUUAGCCACCGAGCCGUCCUGGGAGUUGGGUGAUUUUGCCUCAUCACUACCUUCCAGGCUGUGCAGCAGUUCUCUUCUUCGAGUACACGCAUGGUUUCCUGGUGUCCCGUUUCCAACAGUGCUCCGUCGUUUUGCACAGAAUUACUUUCCUUUCGAUUAUUUCCUGGGGCUCUCGUUCAAGAAGUGAAAUUAUUGGCUCUUCCUGGUAAACUUGGAUUUCACAGUGGAACUCUGACCCCUUUGAAGCCCCACGCUUUACUAGGAAAGUAUAAUAAGGGAGAGAAGCUUGACAUUUCUUGGUAUCUUUCUAAUCCAUCUUUGUUUGUGGAAUGCCAAGUAUUUCAAGGACCUGGACUCUAAUAAACACCCUUCCCUCAGCAGGGCCACAGCAGGCUCUUCAUGACUUCUCUUCCAUUUCUGGAAGUCAUUUUAAUAUCUUUCCAUCUGGUGUUUCAGGAUCUACAGGUGAUUCAGGCACAAGGCUGGGUCUCGGGUGUUGUUAUUCUGGGCAGUACUGGGCGCGGAACCUAGGGCCUUCCUGUUGAGCCGCGGCCCCAGUCCACCCCCUUUCCACUGUGAGACAAGUUCUUGCCAAGUCACUGAGUAGCCCGGUCUAACUGGGACUGGUGAUCCUCCUGCUUCAGCCUCCUGGAGUGCUGGAAUCAAGGCAGGUGCCACCACGCCUACUUCAGGAGUCUGGCUCAUUGAUAGGCAGUGGAGUUCAUCGUGUUGGUGUGUUCCCAGGGUAACAGUGCAGUUCCUCGCGUGGGUUUCUGGAACUCUGGAGGCUGCGUGGCCUGCACAGACCCAGGCUCGCUGCCCUGCUGCUGAUUGCCCUUCGGGAGCUCCAGCAAUCGCGUGCGUGGCCUGUUGGCGGGGAAGGGGCCCAGCAAGGUGCUGCAGUUCCUAAUUACGACAGACGGCCAGCUCCGCCACGCUGUCUUUGGUCCCACGUCACAGCGGUUCUGAAGACGUCGCACUGCACACUGGAGGCUUGGGGGGCAGACCACGCCUCUGCCUGCUCCUGGGGAGCAGCGUCCACCAGCGUUACCCGUUGAAAGGCAGCGACCCCCAAGUGGAUUACGUUCGGGAAACGGACCGGCUCCG